rnacentral:rRNA from 1 species
AUUGAACGCUGGCGGCAUGCCUUACACAUGCAAGUCGAACGGUAACGGGCCUUUGGGUGCCGACGAGUGGCGCAAGGGUGUGUAAUACAUCGGAACGUGCCCGAACGAGGGGGAUAACGAGGCGAAAGCUUUGCUAAUACCGCAUACGAACUACGGGUGAAAGCGGGGGGCCGCUCGGGCUUGCGCGGACGGAGCGGCGGAUGGCAGGUUAGGUAGUUGGUGGGAUAAAAACUCACCAAGCCGAGGAUCUGUAGCUGGUCUGAGAGGAUGAUCAGCCACACUGGGACUGAGACACGGCCCAGACUCCUACGGGAGGCAGCAGUGGGGAAUUUUGGACAAUGGGCGCAAGCCUGAUCCAGCCAUGCCGCGUGCAGGAUGAAGGCCUUCGGGUUGUAAACUGCUUUUGUACGGGACGAAGAGCAUUCUUUUAAUACAGGGGGGUCAUGACGGUACCGGAAGAAUAAGCACCGGCUAACUACGUG